rnacentral:rRNA from 1 species
CCCUUAGAUGUUCUGGGCGGCCCGCGCACUACAAUGACGCUUUCAGCGAGUUCCUAUGUUGAAUUUUCCUGGGUAUUCUUGGAAGCGGCGUCUUGACUUGGGAUAGAUCCUUGUAAUUGUUGGUUUUGAACGAGGAAUUCCUUGUAAUCGCGGUUGAUCAGCUCGCGUUGAAUACGUCCCUGCCCUUUGUACACACCGCCCGUCGCUCCUACCGAUGAAUCGUCCGGUGAAGUUCACAGAGUGGCGGUUCGUGGAGUUGCUCGCGAAGUGAAAUGGACCUCACGAUUUAGAGGAAGGAGAAGUCGUAACA